CCCCAAAAGAUAAGAUAAUCUCAGCAUCAAACUAGACUCUCCCUUCCUAUAUAUGUAUAUACCACUGCCUUCGUGGUUAUUCCAGUGCCAAAUUUCCUUCUAGCGUCUUCUCUCUGACACAAUGGUCCCCUUCUUUAUCAAAGUUUUGCCGAGGUUUUGCUAAUGUACGAACGAUCAAGAUUGUGGUUCCUUUCUUGAUCAAAGUUUUAUCGAGGUUUUGCGAAUUUAUGAUUGACCAUUGUGUUUUACGUGAGUGCUUUUGUCGGAUUGUCAGAUUGAAGAAUAGAAGAAUUAUAAGUAAAUUUACGCGAAUUAUGAAUAUAAUUCUUUAUUUGAUGAUGUGAAUUCUGAAUAUAAUUCUUUACUGGAAGCUCAACUUCAAAACGCAGCAGCUCAUUUGAUAUCCUAAUUUAUCUGAGCUUCCAGCGAAGACUUGCUUGCUAUGGAUGUCUCUCGUGGAGGCAAUGACGGGAGAUUAUUGUUUGGAAUGACACAAAAGUCUCGUUGGUUGUAGUCUCUCUCCUUUUAUUACGUUUCCAUUCACUAUUGUUCUUAUUUGGUCGAUUUGGAAUGGCUGUAGUCUCUCGAAUUGGUUGUCGGAAGGUACAUGUAUCAGUAAGGAGCAAUACUGUUAUGGUGUAGACGUGCAAAUGGUGCUUGGAAAUUAUGUGGACUGUGAGACUAAUGAUUUGGAUUAAUUUUUAACUAGCUAAACUUGUUUGUUUGAUUCUGAUCUUGGUUGUAACUUUCAAUACAAGAGUACUGUUACAAACUGACAUCUGAGGUGGGUUUGUCUGCUAUAUUUUUGUGUUCUGGGUUUACAAAAGGCAUUGUGGGAUGAGCGUGGUUGACAAGUUUUGUUAGGCUUUACUCUUUGAUUUGAUGGUA